rnacentral:RNase_P_RNA from 1 species
GAGGUUGGUGAGAUGACCGCCCCCGGCAUCUGUCGGGAGAGGAAAGUCCGAACUCCGCAGGACAGGGUGCCUCUUAACGGGAGGACCCAAUCAAGGGAUGGCAAGUGCAGCAGAAAGUAAACAUCUCUUCUGUGGCAGCACAGGAGAGAAACAGGUGAAAUGGUGGUGUAAGAGACCACCGGUGUAUAUGGAAACAUAUGCAGCCAGGUAAACCCCGCCCGGAGCAAGAUCAAGCAAUCCAGUAUGGUCCGUACGUUUAGGAUGGGUAGAUCGCAAGAUCCCGGUUGUGAGGCCGGGACCAGAUGAAUGGUCAUCAUCCCGACUUGUCGGGAAACAGAAUUCGGCUUAUGAUCCAACCUCAAUA